GAAAAAAAAAAAAAAGUUUAUUACAACUUUCAGCAAUGGAUCUCUUGGCUCUCGCAUCGAUGAAGAACGCAGCGAAACGCGAUAUGUAAUGUGAAUUGCAGAUCUACAGUGAAUCAUCGAAUCUUUGAACGCACCUUGCGCUCCUUGGUAUUCCGAGGAGCAUGCCUGUUUGAGUGUCAGUAAUUUCUCAACCCCUUUCAAUUAACUUAGGAUGGGAGCUUGGAUAGUGGGGGUUUGCAGGAAACUUGGAUCUUUUCUUUAACUAGAAAAAGUCUAGGAUUCGGGCUCUCCUGAAAUACAUUGGCUUGCGGGUCUACUUUCGACUUUGUGCGAUAAGGCUUUCGGUGUGAUAAUGAUCACCGUGUGCUGAAGUGCAUAACUGUAAAGUUCCGUGCCUCUAAUAUUGUCGAUCCUAGUU
rnacentral:sRNA from 1 species